ensembl:snoRNA U3 Small nucleolar RNA U3
AAGACUAUACUUUCAGGGGUCGUUGUUAUAGUCUGUUACUAGAGGAAGUUUCUCUGAACGUGCAGAGCCCUGGAAACCUCAGGGAGAGACACAGCGUUCUCUCCCGGGCGUGAAACUGGUCUUAGUGUUGGGUCACUGCCACUACCAUUUGCCACUGAUGGUCCUUCUUCUCUUCCUUUGGGGAGAGUAAGGACAGAACGCAGUCUGAUG